rnacentral:rRNA from 1 species
CAAUAGCGUAUAUUAAAGUUGUUGCGGUUAAAAAGCUCGUAGUUGGAUUUCUGCUGAGAACGACCGGUCCGCCCUUUGGGUGUGUAUCUGGCUCUUUCUUGGCAUCUUCUUGGUGAACGUUGCUGCACUUGACUGUGUGGAGCGCUACCCAGGACUUUUACUUUGAGGAAAUUCGAGUGUUUCAAGCAGGCAUACGCCUUGAAUACAUUAGCAUGGAAUAAUAAGAUAGGACCUCGGUUCUAUUUUGUUGGUUUCUAGAGCUGAGGUAAUGAUUAAUAGGGAUAGUUGGGGGCAUUCGUAUUUAACUGUCAGAGGUGAAAUUCUUGGAUUUGUUAAAGACGGACUACUGCGAANGNAUUUGCNAAGGAUGUUUNCAUUG